UGCAAGGGAAGCAGCUGCAAGAGAUGCAAGGGAUGCAAAGGUGGAGGCGAGAGAUGUAAAGAGAACAACAGUGACAGCAACAACCGCAACCGCAUGAACGUGAUGAGUAUUAAUGUGUUGUUAUGAACUUAUGAUGUUGGUUUAUGUGGGGAAAUAAAUGAUGUAUGUACCUCUUCUUGCCUAUGUAGUAGGUUUGGGUGUUUUGUUGUCUAGCUUUGCUUAUUUAGUAAUUAGUAGAAGGGACGUUCGUUCGUGUCUCAUAAAAAGGGGUACUACCACUCUGGCAAUGUGAUUUGUAUUUGAUGAAUUCAAUGUGAAAUGUGUUUUGCGUUGGUGUAUGUAAUUUCUCGUCCAAUGUGCUUUUAGAACAACGUACGGUGAAAUUUAAGCUGUGCAUUGUUGAUAAUUCUUCGUUCAAAAUCAAAUUGCUAGCAAAUUUUAACUAACAUGAAAUUUUGUCAACAGUACAGCACUCAUUAACCAAGUUCCAAACUAAGAUGCGCCAUUAACAUCAACCAAUAGCAUUUUUCAGCAUAAGGAGGCUUUGACAUGCAAAAAUAUCUUAAUAUAUAGAUAAGCAUGUGAAGUAGGAAAUUAACUUGUUAAGAUUUGUUUCGCUUUUUCUUCAAUGAAAACAGUUCUUAUAUGUAUAAGAAAAAAAAUAAAUGAGUUUUCCUAUAAUUUUAAAUUAACUUAUACACAGGCUAGCCUUUAAAAAAAAAACCUAUACACAGGCUAAGUUUUAGAAGUUUUCUAGAAAUUAUGACAAUAAGCUUUGUUUAAAAAAAUAAUUAAAAUAAGCUAUUUUUAAAUUUUAGAAGCCCAUUUUAUUUUUUCUUGUUUUUCUCCUUUAUUUUCUUCUUUCUCAGAAAGAAACCAUCGUCAAAACUCAAAAGGCCUUCUCUGACGCAAGAUACCCUCUGCUGUGUGGGUUAUAAUAAAUUUUUUCUCUCCCGUUUAGUAAAAAAGUAACACUAUCUAACAAAAUGACGACGUGAGCUUGUUAAAACGUCUUUAACAUGUGUAAGACCUUAAUGUUACUAGGGGGAAAAAAAUAAUUGUCUAACCAAUAAAGAACAUUCUCAAUGUAGCUAAAACUUCAACAUAAAUUGCAUUCGGUGAUGGGAUUUACAAUUGAAUUGAAUUGACAAACAUCCUGGAGCAUCAUCAAAAUUUUCAAGAAAUGUAUCAAAACUAUGUAGCUUACCAAAUUCCCAAGUUAGUCAAUUUUUUUUUUCUGAAGUGCGUUAGUUAAAUUCUUGAUACAACAACAAAAACAAAGUUGUGGCUGGGCUGGGACAGGAAGAGCAUAUUUAAUUCAAUGUUGGGGUUAAGGUCCAGCUUCAGCAUCUGUGCCACCAUUAUUUAGCUUUGAAUCAUUAUUGGGUAUCCAAAACGUGAGAACACUUGAAGCUGCAGCGAACAUGGCCUUGUGAGGGGCCCACUUCAAGCACGAAGGAACACCAAUAUGGCUGGUCCAACAUGCCACCUGCAGGGAAGAAAACCAGAGGCUCAUCAUCGCAAAAAUUUUGCGCUAUUACAUUGACAAAAUAUAAAAUAUUGGUUAAAAUAUGACUUUUUCUUUUAAUCUUUUAUUAAAAUUUCAUUUAUUUUUAGGUCUUAAAAUUAAAAGUUAGGUACUUUUAAUCCUUGAUGAGUGACACCAUAUUUUUGUUGAAAUGCAGAGAUUAAAACGAUUUUUUUUAUAUAACAUUAAAACUAAAAACGAGACCCUCUUUAAGCCUGAAAUAUAUCAGUAAAUAAAUAUAUAAAACCUUUUUCAGCUGACAUCAUGCUACUGUUUCAACGUUUCAUUCAUGUCUUUAUGCUCAUGACAUUAUUUAUGCUCCCUCCGUAUCCUCUUUUAAGACCAAAGUUUUGUUCCUUUUUAUAAGAAACAUUCUAAAAUAUAUUUAGCAUUAACUAUUUUUUACAUAAAUACCCUUAAUUAAAAUCAUGGCAGUGAAAGAUUGUAUCAACAAAAAAUUAGAACAAUAUCCAUUAAUGUUUUUAUGCGUUUCAUUAAUGUUAAGGGUAAUUUUGAAAAAAAUAAUAUAAAUAUUGGACAUAUUUAAUGUUAUCCUUAAUUCUUAUGAAUUAGUUAACUGAUUAGAGGGAGUGUAUAAGGAUUAGGGGCAUAAAAUCAGAAGUAUAAUACAUAAGCAAGCAACAGUACACUCAGAACAGAAAGGACAGUACAGUAUGAACACAUUGUCAAUAGCAAACAUUUUACAGGAAUUAAGUCAAUAAUAUUGAGAUUUUGGCUAUUUUAAAAUCCAAAGAUAAUGUGUGGAGUUGAAACCAAGGAUUAAGUCAAAGCUUCAGAUUCUGAUAAAACACAUGCACAUUUAUAUUAAAUAUGAAUCUACUAAAAUCUAAUUCAUUAAUCUUUAAAUCAAGUUAUAAGUCCAUAUUUUAUCUUUUGAAAUUAGGAGUUAAAUCCAUAAAAGUAAGACAGCUCAACAAUAAAUUGAUUACCAAAUGGUGGUAGCUGGAAUUGGAAUCCCCAGUCGAUGGUAACUGGAGUGCGAAGAUUGGAAGAGUGACAAUCAGCACAGGAACAAGAGAAGAUAACAUGCAGAAGUGUUAAGAAAGGUUUUUAAACAGUUUUGGAUAAUGAUUGUAAGGGCUGUUAGCUGUUGCUAACAGCACCCAUCUAAUGUUAGAUAGCUAUUGUAAGGGCUGUUGGCUUUUGCUAGCAACACCCAUCUAAUGUUAGUCAGCAGUACAGGGCUGUUAGUCUCUUCUAACUGCACCUCACUAGGAUCAGGCAGUUAGAUUCUGUUGAUUAGUUAGAAUCAGUUAUGGUUAGUUCAGCAGUGCAGAGGUCUAUAUAUACCUCAAUUGUAACUAACUCUAACUAACUUUUACAGAUCAAUAAUAUCAGUUUCUUUCUUCUUUGAUUUUCUCUCUUCUGUUCUCUCUCAGUUUAACGAAAAUGUCUCAUUUUAAAGUAUCCUUUUAGAAUUAAAAAUAAAUAAAUAAAAUUAGCAGAAUCAUAUUGUAGUAGAAAAUAGGGAAUACCUCAUUUUUCAUCUCAAUACUCCAAGCUUGCAUGGUUCCGCUUCCAGAUCCUUAGACAUCAAAAUUAAGAAAAUUUUAUACUCAUUAAUUACAUCUAGCUUAUGGAAAAUGUUAAUGGUAGAACAAAGUAACCAGCACCCACAAUCUAAUGAAUCUAUACUCAUCGACUAUAAUUUCAUUUGAAGAACCAUGUAUGAUAUACUACACACCUCAUUUCAUUAUGGGCAGUACUCUUGAGCUCAGCAAAUUCAAUAAGCAAUAAUAGAAAGGAAAUGAUGCUUGAAAAUAAAAUGACAUUUUCUCAGUUUUAGAUCAAACAAGUCCUACAGCUUGGCCAGUCAUCUUCCUGAGUAUAAUUAUCAAAUUGGUAAUUUCUCUUAUCAAUAGUAUAUUACAGCCCAUGGUGGAAAGACAAAUCAGCUAUGCCACAUGGCAGAAAGUAUUAAAGGCAAGUAGGGGAAGCACAAUAUUCAAAAUCAGUAUUGUUAAACAGAUUAUGGUGGAGCGGGUUUGGGUGUAAAACACCAUGGUGAAUGACAGCAGUCUAUGCUUUCUCAGACAUUUCAAGGGUCUUUCUUUUGUGAGGGUGGGGGAAAUAACAUUUUUUGGGGUUUUAGAUUAUGUAUAUAAAUCCCAAAAUGUGAAUUGUCUCAGAGUUUGAGUAAAUGGGUAUAAUAUAAAGAUGUUAUUUCCAUUUGUCUCCCGCACAACCUACACUGUGAGUUGCAAAUCAUGUCAUCAGACAUUGACCCCUCUGUUACUCCAGGAAGCACAGCCAUCUCUAGUUAUUUCAAUUUUAUUGUAAUAUUAUUUUAGUUCCAAUUUUGUGCAUCUGACACUGUUUCUCAUACUUCUCCCAGUUCUCUGUUUGUCUUCUAUUUCAAUUUUGUUUCUAGGUUUCUCUUACUUAUCUCUUUUUUAUUCAAACAAUGUCUUCUUUCAUGUGAUUGUCUUGUUUUGUUUCAAUUUCAUGUAUUUCAAUUAUAUUAAAUACUCUAUUUUAGUCCCCACCCUGUCCUAUUUCAGAUUUCAGUAAUCCUUCCCUUUAUUAUUUUAAUAUGUUGAUACGGAAUUUAAAAUUUUGACCUUAUUUCAUAUUGUACAGCACAAGUUACAGUGUCAGAAGACACUUUUUUUUUUAAAAAAAAAUGUUUUUAAAUUAAAGAAACUUUUUUGUUGUUAUUGUGGGAAUUAUAUUUUAUUUAUACUUAUAGGAUUAGUAUCAAGUAUAGUAAGUGAAGCAUCUUCAAAUCCUUCUAGCAUUGAUGCAAGGAAAUGACACUAACUGUUGUUUACACAACUUGUGAUCUUAAAGGAUGGAAUGAAUAGAGCAAAAGAGCACAUUUCAUGGGAAAGAAGGGCAACUUUGUAGCUUAACCUAAAGGUCCAAAAGAGGUCAAAGAAGAAUUGUGGGGGAUAUUUGAAGGAUAAGAAGAAUCAAGAUGAUGAAAGUUUUCAAUGAAUGCACCAUGAUCUUGAUGACUAAGGUGAUAGUAAUGAAGUAAGAAGGAUUUAGAGAUUGUAACUAAUACUACUAGUGGAAGGAUCAAAGGAAGUGUGAUUGGAAGAGCCCCACCAAUCUUCUUUAUAGAAGACAAGAAAAUGCAAUUGAAAAAUAAAAAAGAUAAAUGAAGGCAUAGCAAGCAUAAGGGAGGCAUGUGAUAAGGAGAUAAUGACAAAAAUUCAUCAAUACAUAGCUCGAGGUACCAAGCUAGGUUGUCUUUUAACAUAGUUAAGUUGCAAAGCUUUCAUGAAAUGCUUACAGCCAUUAGAAGCUUUAGACCAAAUUUAAAAUCCCCAUCUUACCAUGAUAUAACAGUCCACACUUCAACGAGUUGGUGGACAUUGACAAUUUGUUUAAGUAUCAAAAGUACUAGUGGGGAAGACUUGAAUGCUCUAUUAUGUUUAAUGCAUGGUUGGGUAGAAAAUAGAGAUCUUUAAUCAACUUCUUGAUGAUCUUUAAUCUAUUUAUGCAUUAGAUGUUGUGUAAACUAGUUAGAAAAUACUGAGUUGUUUGACUCCAUUGUGGAUGACAUGGGGAAGAAAAGAUUGUGCAAGUUAAAUGAACAAAGGAAGCAACUAUGUUUUUGUCUAGUAAAUUACUAGAAGAAAAAAACCACAUUUAUGUUGAGCUCUUAGUGCAACCCCACUGCAUAAAUUUGAUGUUCAGAGAGUGGAGAGUUCCCUCUAAUGAGAACAGUUCAAAGGGUAAUAUCUCUUGUUGGCUUCAUCUAUAGACAUUCCAGAUUUUAAGUAUCUUGAGUUUGUAGAAGUACUUUAUUAACAAAAGGGAAAUGGUGAGACAUGUAGACACCUAAUUUGAAACAUCCUUCCUCAUAUUGAAAAAGGUUCUAAAAGAAAAGGAAAAUAUAUCAAAUGAUUAGACAAAUUAUCAAAGGAGGCUAGAAGGAAGUAAUAAAAAUUGUGCAUAUUUCAAUUAUCCAAAACAAUGUAGUGUUUACACUUGAGGUAAUGACUCUUAUGUGUGUACUUCACCUCAUUGAUAUUGAGAAAAAACCAGUCAUGAGUUAUAUUAUAUUAAUAAGACAAUGGAGAAGGCUAAAAAAGCCAUCAUGGAAUAUUUUUAGAACAAUAAAAGUAAAUAUAAAGAAGUUUUUGAAAAUACUAACACUAGGUGGAUUUGGAGGAUUCUUAUAUUUGCCUUCAUUGUUCCCAAAAGAUUGAAUAAUGGCUUCACUUAUAUGGGGUUUUUUCUUUACAUUUAUUAGCUCAGAAAAUAUGACAAUAAGGCUAAGUUAUUUAUGAAAUGAUGGUUAAUGACAUUAAUCCUGAAGGUUAAUGAAUAGGAGGAUAAUUAGUUUUGGACUCGGUUACUUGUAUGUUAUAGGUUGAUUGGGUUCUUUUGCAUUUAUUAGCUUUGAUAAGAGCUGACAAUAAGGCUGUUAUUGACUACAUGAAUUAUGAUUUUAUUCUGCCAAAGAUACGGUUGUUAUGAGGUCAAUUCCUAGUUUAAAUUUAAAAUCAUUACAUUGAGAAUUUUGAGUAUGGUAUACAACUUUACAUUGAUACAAUAUAUUCCAAGCUUAUUUUUCAUUAUGUAUCUGAAUCUUAUGAUUUAAAUACAAUUCAUGAUUCUAAAAUCAACCAUGAAUUAUAUAUAUAUAUAUAUAUAUAUAUAUAUAUAUAUAUAUAUAUAUAUAUAUAUAAAACUAUGAAUUAACAAUUUAAAUAGUGAAUUGAUAAUUAUGCUAAUUUAUACAAAGAAAAUUUGAGUAAAUUACAUUAACCACCCCUGAAGUUUCAUGAAAUUACACAAAUACCCCCUGCUUUUUUAACCAUUACAGUGACCUCCCUUGCAAGGGGUGUUAGCGUAAUAUAUAAGGAGGAGUCAUUGUAAUGUUCUCAAACAUUAAGGGGAUGUUAGUGUAACAUAUAAGAGGAAGCCAGUGUAAUGUUUGCAAACAAAAAGGGGAUUAGAGUAGGAAUAGACAAAAAAGUGUGUAAUUUGAAAAAAGCUCAAGGGAUGUGAGUGUAAUUUAGUCAAAUUUAAUUAUUACAAAGUGAGAAAACUAUUCCUCUCGAAUCCUUCUGUAAUCAGCAUAUGCAAAUGUUCAAAUUAUAGUUUAUCACAGGAAGAAGGAAAGACAAUUACCAACAGUAAUUCUGAGUAUAUGAUUUAUAGGAUGCUAUACAAUACCAAGACCUAAUGCUCCCAUUUGUAAUUAUAAUUACGUCAACUACUAAUACUAUUAGUUCAAGCUCAAGUCCAUAAACACCAAGACUAAUAACCAUAUUUAAAAAAAAAAAGGAUAAAUUAGAAGGGUGUUUUGGUGCACAUCAGCUGGUAAAAAUAACCAGGAAGUAAGAUGCAGUGAAAAUAAAAGUUUUAAAAAGCUAAAUUGUAAAGAGAUGAAAUGGGAUACCUGCCACCAAGUACUUCCCAUCUUGGGUAAAUGUAGCCUCUAUUGGGGUACCAGGAGAUGGUUCCAAACUAAAUCCACAACGCUGCACAAGUUAGAAAACUAUCAAUUUCCGCAUAUUUUGAAAAAAAUACAUUAUUGCAUACGGAAAAUGCAAUGCAAAGGAUUCAAUCGUCAAAGAAAUUAACCUUGUCUCCUCCAUAUGCAUCAAGAACAUAAAUAUUGUUAUUAGUAGUAGUCAGAAGCAUUGAUUUUCCGUCAUUACUGAAUUUGAUAUCACAAACUUCGGCUGUGUCACCACCAACUAGAAAGGUGUCAAAGGGACCCUACACCAAUAUGGGAAAUGUCAGAGUUGUGAAGUUAUGAAAAGCAUAGCAAAGGCUAGAGAAAGGUUACAAAUACAAACCUUGUCAUAAGAACGAGAAUCAAACAAUUUAAUAGCUCCCCCUUCCAUUGCUACAGCAAAGACCAGGCCUUGUUGGUCAUAGGCAAUAGCAGGUCUACCACGUAGACGUAAGAUGCCCUGAAAACUAUAUCAGUGAGCAAAAUCAUAAUUGUUUCUCCUAUAAUUUUUCCUUGAUGCACUGCAAAUAUUAAUCUUUUGAAGCUCAACCAUGGGUUUUAAUUGCGAUUACUGUCAUGGUUGCAUUGUGGUUGUUGAAGGCCAACUGCGAUCAAUCCAAUUUUGCAAUCACAGCCUAAUGCAAUUAGCAAUGGCCGCCAGCAUCAUGUGAUGGCUUUCCACAUUUUUAAACCUUGAGCUCAACUAUAACAAAAUGUUAUCAUGUUAAGUGAGUUAUGAAAAGAAGUGUAGAAAAAGUCACCUGUCUUUUAUAUAUAUUUACUUAGUAAUUCUUGUGCUACACAGAAUCUAUACUUCUUUUAAUUGGCCUUCAAAAGUCACACAACUAUCCUCCCCCCCCACCCAAAAAAAAAAAAAAAAGAAAUGAAAACUACCAACCUGGCAAGCAUUUACCCGAAGAUCCCAUAUCCUAACACUGUGGUCUAGAGAACCAGACAUGAAGCUAUCAUUGAUUGGAGACAUGCAGAGAGAAACAACUCUGUAAAGCAAGACAUGGAAAAAGAAAUCAGCAAUACGAUCAUGUAUAAUAAAGGAACUGACACACUCAGAAUCAUUGACCAAUUGCUGUCUUCCUUAUUGGGUUCAAGAAAAGGUGAGGCUCAGGAAAGCUUUACAUACAUACAUCAAUUUAACAUAGAGCAGAAGAUAUAAACAGGAAAGUAAAAAGGAUCAAACAAAUAAAUAAAAAAUAUAAAAUAACUAUCCAGCAAAAAUUGAAAAUAAGACUAGUUCUAUUUUACUUUUAUGUAGGGUAAAAAAAAUCAUAAUCUUAGUAGCCAGAAAUACUUCCCACCAAGUGAACUUACACAAUAAUGAUUACUUAUAGAUUGUGAUCUUAGUCCUACAAUCAGAGACCAACGAUGUCCCAAAACAAAAGGGAAAUGAUGCAACAAUAAGAAACAAGAAUUAUUUUUUGCCUACGGCAUAUAGCAACUAAGCAAAAGCACCAAGUUUUCCUUCUGCACUGUAAAAAACUUCAUAUAUGAAAAAAGUACAUUCAAACCUAACCUCUGUUUAUGCCCUUUGAAGUAUCGUAGGCAGCGAUUAUCAUACAUUGAUAAAUACUGCAAUGAUUCUGGCACACAAGGAAUAAGAAGUGAAUAAUUGCAAGCAUAAUUUGUAGCCACUGACUAGCUGUAAAUUACAUCAAAUAAAACUGUCAUAUAGAGAAGCCAACCUCCAGUAGACUCCAAAUUGUACUUUGAAGAGCAUAUAACAGAGCUUGGAUGAUGAGUAAAACAUAUACGAUCAGUACCAUGUUUCUUAUUAGAAGUGGUCUUCAAUAACCUGGAAUUCAUGGUAAAAUGCAUAGAAAAAAAUUAUUCAUGUAUGAAGCAGUAAGUAAAUCAUGUAAACUUUAUCAUUUAUUAGACAAACCAUUUACAAGGAAAAAAAGAAGACAUAAUUGGUACAAUUAAUAGUGGGCUAAAAUUUAUUACAUUAACAAUUUAAGCUUCUGCAAUAAAGCAAAUUUAUUUUCUGGAUAUAAUGAAACAAACUUAAAAACUGAAAUGAUUGUUUAGUAUUCAGAGUUCAUAAGUUGAGUUUGUAGCAAAUUUUUAAUUUUUAAAUCCCAAAUAGUGGGAUUACUUUUUGUCAUAAAAGUAAACUCACUUAGCAUUAGCAAUGUCGUAAAGUCGCACCGAGUCAUCCCCACUAGACGUGACAAGUAAAUCAUCCUUUCGAUGGAAAUCAAUCGAAUGUAUCAUCCCACCCUGAAAAUACAAAGAUCAUUAAACCCUACAGAAAAGACACAAUUGCAAUGAGGCCACCAUUUCAAUGUCAAGAACAAGAUAAUGAAAAAGAACAUAAUUUUGUUUUCGAAAAUAAAAGAUUAAUAAUCUCAAUAAUUUGCUCAAAAAGAAUAACAUCAACAAGUUCAAAUAAAAAAAUCUUCACUGCCAGUAUUGCUACAUUCAGAACAAGAGAUCGCAACGAUGGAUAUUUUUAGAGCAAAAAGGCUCGCUAAUAGAUUAAAGGACAACCCUAACGGAAUUUUCUUUUUCCCUUAACAAGAAGAAAUACCUAAAAGGUGAGAGAGGGCACUGAAAUAAGAGUAAAGAGAAUGAAAUUGAAAGGGGAAAGAAGGGUUACGAAGUCGGAGAAGACGGCUCCUAUGGACAUGCUUCGAACCAAAUCGUCGUCAAGCUCCGUAAACGACGCCGUCGUCAUGCUGGCGGAGCAAAGUAGCAGCAGAGUGGAAAGAAAGUAAGAGAGCAGAAAAAUCCGCCGAUGCUUUUUCACUGUUGUUUUCACUUAAGUAGUGGGAUAGGUUGGGAUAUUCGGUUAACUCACAAUUAUUUAUUUUUAAGAUAAAUAUUUGAUACUUGGAAUUUGUAAGGUACUCACAUAAUAAAAAUAUAAAAUUUUGUUUUUAAAUUUUAAAGAAAAAAGAUAAAUUUAUCUUAUCAUUAAUUUUUAUUAAUCCAAACGGCUAAUCAUAGUUAACAUCGCGGGAACUAUUUGUGGGAGGCAGUGUGCAACAUGCAUGAUCACAAAUUUACCCUCUCCUAGCUACAUAUAUAGAUAUAUAUACGUGCUGCUUUGGGUGGGAUCAAGUGAUGGCAAGUUCAGGGUGAAAGCAACAUAUAAUAAAAUCACCUUGUGUGACAUGCACGCUCCCUCAAGACCCUCUUUGGAAGAUAAACCAUGCAUGAUGCCUUUCUAAGAAAUGGCAAGAAAAGAGAUAGGCACAUGACUGAGGAUGCAUUUUGCAUCAUCUAUGGCCAAGAGGGAACUACCCUCCAUGCCCUUUGGCAAAGGAGUAGGUCAAGGGAGCAAGGAAUGGCCAACUCGGUUUGGCGUGUUGUUGAAUCAGAUUUGGAUUCGUAGAAAUAACUUUAUUUUCGAUGGAGUACUGUGGGGUGAUGAUUCCAAGUGUAGUAUCUUAUUAGCAGAAAAGCUGAUGCAGGAAAUUGAAUUGUAUGUGAUGGACCGUUUUCUAAAGCAUCUAAUAAGGUGGCGUGUGGUGGCAUUAUACGUGACUUUAAGAGCAGGCAUUUAAGGCCAUUCUCAUGUGGUUUAGUGCCUUGCUCAAUCCUGAAAUCAAAGCUUUGGGCUAUUAUCAAUGGAAUUAGGCUUUCUCUUGCCAAAGACUUCAGGAAAAUUUCGGUAGAAUCGAACUCUAAGAAUGUUGUCGAGCUAGUGAAGAGAGGAGUGGCUUCGAAUCGUAGUCGAGGCCAACUAGUCCUCAUGGUUCAUCGGUUAAAGGAGGAGAUUGAAGAUUUUCGUUUGUCUCGUGUCAUGUGCGAAGGCAAUGUUGUGGCUGCUAGUUUGGCAAAGCAUGACCUACUGUUCCUCUCCUAGCUAAAGCUAGUAGGAUGGUUUUUUUUUUUUUUUUUUUUUUGUAGUGGUUUUGUUUUGUUAGGGGCAUUAUAGAGUACAGAAUGAGGAAAUCUUGGAAUAUCAUUGGAUAAACAAAAGCAUCAAGAAGAUUUAUUAGGGAAUUAAUUAAGUUUUAUUAGGAAAAUUAGAAAUAUAUUUUGUUUUUUUUUUCCUUUUUCUAAAUAGAUAUCAUUAUCUUUAUCAUAUUUAUAACUCAUAAAUUAAAAAUCUUAUUUGUUAAUAGAAUCUAACAUAAAAAUAUAUAGUUGCUUGGAUUAGAACUUAUCGAAAAUACUUUUACAGUUUUCAUAGUUAUUAUAUUUAUUCUGCUAUUAAUCUUAUCUUAUGAUGUUAAAUAUUUGUAAUCAAGUUUAAAACAAGAUAAAAAAAAACCAUACACUUAAGUAGAUAUUAUAUUUUUAUGUUAAUUAAUUAGUUUAAUAGUUAAAGUAAAUCAUCUAAUAAAAUUAUUAAAAAAUAAAAUAAAUAUAACAUUUAUCAUUGUGAAUUCUGUGAAGUAUAAUAUGAAUGAGCGAAACUAUAAUAAAAUAAUAAAACCCUAUUUUACUUGGAUUAGCAAAAAUUUAAUGCCCAACACGGUUCUUUGAAUUCCUAAAGUAGUAUUAGCAAUACAUUACACAGAUUGCACUUAGAUUUAACGCUAGUUAUGCACCUCAAAAGAAACACAUCACGCAGGUAUAAAAAAAUUAAUUGUGGUUUUGUCAACAUAAAACAGCAUGGACCAAUCAGGUAUGGCAAAAUUAAUUGUGAUUUUGUCAAUAUAAAACAGCAUGGACCAAUCAUAUCAAUUAUGAAGGAUUAGGGAUGGAAAGAAUGAAAAAGAAGAAUUAUCAGAAACUACAAAAAAGAUGAAAAAUAAGAAGCAAUAAUAAACAACAAAAAUCAAACCCUAGUCAGCUCAGCUAUAAAGUGCUAAACAAAACAAACAAAAGAAGAUACUAUCGGAGAAGGGGCAUAAUAUUAAAUUUUAUAAUGCAGCAAAGACAUCCAAAAUUUUUUCUUAAAAACCGAUUCAUAAGGGGGUGUUUUACCUAGCUAUAUAAGCACUUAUCAAGUUGGUUAAACAUCCGAUGUUGGACUAUUCUCAACACGCCCCCUCGAGGCAGGGCUCGUCACUACAAAGCAAGGGCUGGCGGCACCCACCGGAUAAAAUAUGACUCUGAUACCAUAUUAAAUUUUAUAGUGCAGCAAAUACAUGCAUCCGAAAAGACCCCUUAAAAACCGGUUCAUAAGAGGGUGGUCUACCUAGCUAUAUAAACACUUAUCAAAUUUGUUAAACAUCCGAUGUAGGACUAUUCUCAACACAUAAGACAUCCUUCAAUGAAAUCCAUUUAUACUAAUUUAAGGGAAGCAAGUUUAAAUACGUGGUAAGUCAUUAAGAAGAACUGGCUUAGAACUUCCUCAACGCAUUCUCACCCCAAAAUUAACUGACCUCUUAGCUUUUUGAUGAAAUAUCACACUGAGUCCAUCAUCAAUUAUGAGUCACAAGUAAUCACAUAAAUUCAGGGCUUAAGCUCAACCAAACUAUGUAAGAUUUGUAAAUAGUAAUGCUCAUAUGACCAGGUUGCAUGGACUAUAUGGCUAGCUAACACCCAUGUAAUAACUUAAUUAGCCUAUAGAAUUCUGGAGUUCAUACUUCGUAGAAACUUUUAAACCAUGAAAGUAGGGAUGGAUUUUUUUUUUUUGGACAUAAAAACGUUGAAUUAUUUGCUCAUGACAAAUGAAGAAACAUUUAUUUAUAUAUAAUAAAUUAAUAAGUUGCCCCGGACAAGGAAAACACAAACUAUUACAUUCAACUUCUAACAUUUCAAUUAUUCCUUUCUUUAUAGUAUAUAUAUAUAUAUAUAUGAAAUGGUCUUCAAUUCCUUCAUAAGAUACACACAUAGAUUGCAUGUCUUAAAUUAAAUAUCACAAUAUGCUUUGAUACGACUUGUAUAUUUUACGGCUUCUUCUGUGAAACGAAAACCAACGUAUGCAUAAUGGUCGAAUGGCUUCUAGCGUAUUGGAUGCUCCUCAUGACUAGAUCCUCUAAUGCCUGUACCAUCUUACUAUUGUAUGAAAAUAAUCCCAAGAAGUACCUUGUUACCUUUGAUUUCAUGAUCACACAAUGUUCACAAGCUCUUAUCCUUUCACUACUCUGGACCUAAGUAAGCAAA
rnacentral:lncRNA from 1 species